UACAGAGGGGGCAAGCGUUGUUCGGAAUUACUGGGCGUAAAGGGCGCGUAGGCGGCCCGCUAAGUCGAACGUGAAAUCCCCAGGCUCAACCUGGGAACUGCGUCCGAUACUGGCAGGCUUGAAUCCGGGAGAGGGAUGUGGAAUUCCAGGUGUAGCGGUGAAAUGCGUAGAUAUUCGCAGGAACACCAGUGGCGAAGGCGGCUUACUGGUCCAUUACUGACGCUGAGGUGCGAAAGCGUGGGGAGCGAACAGG
rnacentral:rRNA from 1 species